NNNNNUCAACCUGUAUUUAUUCUUGUCUUUUUCAUCUCUUUCCCCUUUGUAAGAUGUGCCUCAAUCCACCGCAGGGGUCCUCAUGAAAGCGAUCUCCAAACCUCCAGUCCGCUCAGGGGUCUCUGUAAUUGUGCUCCCGUUCAAGUAAAUUCUGUAUGUUUUCGUCCUAGAAAUAGUCACAAUUAUAACAAAAUAAUCCAUCAUCUAACUAGUUGUUUGAUAUCGGUUUUAGUUCUUACAAUGAACGUUGCAUGCGGGCAAGGGUGUUCUGGUUCGACACUGACCCCCAGCUCCCAGGCCAGUGGCUUGAGCACAGCAGCCAUUCCAUAAAUGGUGGGGGAGCAAACAGGAUCCAAUUACUUUAUUAAUUUUCCUGACUGUUCUUUGGCGAUUACUCUAAUUCUAAAACUGCAGUCCUUGGGUUUCAACAGCAGUAAGGAUUGCUGCUUUGCUGACAAGUGCACUCUCUCCUUGUAGGCAAAUGGACCUGAGACUAAGCCUUCAGAAUCCAAAUUACCAUGGAAACAGCCUUGAGGCCUACCAGUUCGCUGUGCUUCUCACACUGGAGGGAGCUGGAGGCCCAGACAAGUCCGGGGUCCUGCAUUUCCUCCCAGCCGCCCUUCCUUCAGGUGUGAGGAGAACAAGUGAAAACAAGAGGCCCGAUUCUGCCCUUGAAGAGACUCCUCACGCUUUUCCUCAGAGCAUUCACUUUGGGAAACGUGUAAGUACCUUCUCUUCUCUUCUCUCUGUGGUGCGUAUAAGGCUUUUGAAAACUUGAUGGGCCU
rnacentral:lncRNA from 1 species